UACGUAGGGACCGAGCGUUGUCCGGAAUCAUUGGGCGUAAAGAGCGUGUAGGCGGCUUGCUAAGUCUUGCGUGAAAUCUCGGGGCUCAACCCCGAGCGGUCGUGGGAAACUGGCAGGCUAGAGUGCGGGAGAGGAGAAUGGAAUUCCUGGUGUAGCGGUGAAAAUGCGCAGAUAUCAGGAAGAACACCCGUGGCGAAGGCGGUUCUCUGGAACGCAACUGACGCUGAGACGCGAAAGCGUGGGGAGCAAACAGG
rnacentral:rRNA from 1 species